ensembl:rRNA 5S_rRNA 5S ribosomal RNA
GUCUAUGGCCAUACCACCCUGAAUGCGCCCGAUCUCAUCUGAUCUCAGAAGCUAAGCAGGUUUGGGUGUGGUUAGUACUUAGGUGGGAGACCGCCUGGGAAUAAUGGGUGCUGGAGGCU